UCCCGCGCGCGUGACCACGCACCCCCAGCGCGCUGCUGGUGCGGACCUAAUUUAAAGAAAUAAGUAUUUUUGGACAACUCACGGGCAAAGAAAUGCUAGCAAAAAGGGGACGCGUCAACCAGGUAAGUCACCACUUGGUAUUUAGGAAGAAAUACUUGUAGGAUUCGCUUGGAUUGCAUGCAUGCUAGUAGUUUUGCUUCAGAUUAGCUCUCCAUGUAAAUUAUUGGUCAGAUUAACUGUUAUGAUUGUAUUAGGUGAA